GGUCCUGUAGCUCAGUUUGGUCAGAGCAUCGUCCUGAUACGGCGGAGGUCGCCAGUUCAAGCCUGGUCAGGACCA
rnacentral:tRNA from 1 species